AGCUGGCAUAGCUCAGUUGAUGGGAGCAUGAGACUCUUAAGCUCAGGGUUGUGGGUUCGAGUUCCACGCUGGACUA